GGCUUAGUGAGGAGUGUUUCCGUAUUGGUCGUGGUUGACCUUCCCCCCACCUCUAACCCAGAAGACGAGUGAUAGAUCUGCCCUAAAACCAAUCAGAAGUCUUCAGGAUGAGGCCGCGCAGUGCCCUAUAAAAAGCAUACAGUUUGCACCUUAGAGGUGCAGUCUCUCCCAGGUGAGGUAGGGGUGUCCUCCCGGUCUGCCGCUUCCCUCGACCCCCCCACCUGGGCCCUCGAUGCAUCGGGCUCCUCCUCUUCCAGCUGUCACUUUCUCCCCAUUUCUAACCUGCAGCUUGACUCAUCCUCCACCACUAAAAAGUACUAGGGCCAGCUCCCUCCACCACCACUUCACUUCUUCCGUGUCUACCUCUUAAGGCUGGCCUCGAACUCGCCUCGAUCCUCCUGCCUCAGCAUCCUGAGUGCUGGGAUCACAGGCGUGUGCCCCCAUGCCCAGCCACCUGAGCCCUCCAAAGAUGGCUUCUUUGGCUUAAGGAUUUCCCAGGAGCCUCUGCGUCUCCCCUUCACUCCUGCGGUCUGGUCUUUUGUUUGGACGCCUGUUCCCUCUGCCUCCAGGGAAGACUUUCCAAGCCAUCCCUGUCCUCUCCUGCGCAGGCUUGAGAAGGAUCCCAGGGACACAGACCCAGGGUGCAGGCGUCACUUUUGCUUGCCUCCUGGGAUCUCAGUGACCCAGGCUGCCCCAGGCGUCUGAGCCAUGAGAAGUGGCAGAAGCUGGGACCGCGAUCCCCUGCCCCCUGCCUGCCCUGCCCGGCGGGCCGGGCCUGACCGCACCCUGCUCCUUUCCUGUGCCCACUGCUUUGCCCAGGCCAGUGGCCG
rnacentral:lncRNA from 1 species